rnacentral:rRNA from 1 species
UACAGAGGUCUCAAGCGUUGUUCGGAUUCAUUGGGCGUAAAGGGUGCGUAGGCGGCUCGGUAAGUCGGUUGUGAAAUCUCGGAGCUUAACUUCGAAACUGCAUUCGAUACUGCCGUGCUUGAGGACUGGAGAGGAGACUGGAAUUUACGGUGUAGCGGUGAAAUGCGUAGAUAUCGUAAGGAAGACCAGUGGCGAAGGCGGGUCUCUGGACAGUUCCUGACGCUGAGGCACGAAGGCCAGGGGAGCAAACGGG